UACGAAGGGGCUAGCGUUGCUCGGAAUUACUGGGCGUAAAGCGCACGUAGGCGGUUUCUUAAGUCGGGGGUGAAAUCCUGGAGCUCAACUCCAGAACUGCCUUCGAUACUGGGAAACUUGAGUCCGGGAGAGGUGAGUGGAACUGCGAGUGUAGAGGUGAAAUUCGUAGAUAUUCGCAAGAACACCAGUGGCGAAGGCGGCUCACUGGCCCGGUACUGACGCUGAGGUGCGAAAGCGUGGGGAGCAAACAGG
rnacentral:rRNA from 1 species